UACGGGGGGGGGCAAGCGUUGUUCGGAAUUACUGGGCGUAAAGGGCUCGUAGGCGGCCAACUAAGUCCGACGUGAAAUCCCCAGGCUUAACCUGGGAACUGCGUCGGAUACUGGAUGGCUUGAAUUCGGGAGAGGGAUGCAGAAUUCCAGGUGUAGCGGUGAAAUGCGCAGAUAUCAGGAGGAACACCGGUGGCGAAGGCGGGUCUCUGGGCCGAUACUGACGCUGGAGGAGCGAAAGCGUGGGGAGCGAACAGG
rnacentral:rRNA from 1 species